rnacentral:ncRNA from 1 species
CUAUCUGCUAGAAUCUGCAAUAUGUAUCGGAGGGCAUAUGUUAAUACAUAUGCUGGAAAAGAUGUCAGAUGACAUCGGAAUGGGUUAUUAGGCCAGAUAAGAUCAAUUUCUUAUCUGGCCUUUAUUUUUU